GUUCGACCAAAGGAUUUUAAUCCUUUUUGAUACCAUAUUUUCGGUGCAGAAAUCCCGAUCGAUUCGGAUAACUUUUUUUAUAAUCAGUUGUAAUCGAACAUUUUCGGCAGGGUAUGUGGAUCACUAAUGUGAGGCAAAUAAAUGGAUAUUCUUGGCAGCCUGUGAAUUCAUCAGUUGUAUGCUCUGAGCAUUUUGACGUUUCUUCUUGGGAGAAAGUUAGAAAUGAUAAAAAGAAAGCUUAAAUUCGAUGCAGUGCCUUCUAUUUUUAAUAAUCUUGCGCAGAUAUCUGCAAAUGAUCAUACCUAUUCACGAACAUUGAAAGAUAUUACUAACAGGAUGGAAAGAAAUAAGUCACAUUUAUCUAGUUGUGAUCACACGUAUGCAAGUAAAGCAGUCUCCAAUAAUAAAAAUUUAUUAACAUUAGCUGAUAGUUCAAUAAAGAAAACAUCUGUAAUUAUUUCAACAAGUACAGCAGAAAAAAAUGAUCAAAAACAUCAGAAAUUAAGUCAAAUCUUAUUGAUAAUAGAAACCCUGAUAUUUUGUUAAAUAAUUCAGAUGUUACAAAUAUAUGUACUAUUACACCAAGUAAUGCUUUGAAUAAUCUUUUGGAGUUAAUGGAAAAAGUUGAAAAUGCCAUAACUGUUGAAACUAUUAAAGAACAAAAUAUAGAUAUUAUAACUAUGUCUUUAAAAAAGGAAAAUGAACAACUCAAAAACGAAUUGGUAAGAGUUAAGAAAAUUGGUGAUAAGAUACAUCAAGAAAAUGAGACGCUACGAAAGAGUAAUAAAAAGUUACGUCGAGAAAAAAAAAUUUUUACUAAU